AGAGUUUGAUCAUGGCUCAGGACGAACGCUGGCGGCGUGCCUAACACAUGCAAGUCGAACGGGGUAGCAAUACCCAGUGGCGGACGGGUGCGUAACACGUGAGGAACAUGUCUUUCGGCGGGGAAUAGCCGGCCUAACGGCCGGGUAAUACCGCGUACGACGAUCGAGGCGCAUGUCUUGAUCGUGAAAGCAGCAAUGCGCCGAUAGAGUGCCUCGCGGCCUAUCAGCUAGUUGGUGAGGUCAUGGCUCACCAAGGCGACGACGGGUAGCUGGUCUGAGAGGAUGAUCAGCCACAUUGGGACUGAGACACGGCCCAGACUCCUACGGGAGGCAGCAGUGGGGAAUAUUGCGCAAUGGGCGAAAGCCUGACGCAGCGACGCCGCGUGUGGGAUGAAGGUCUUCGGAUUGUAAACCACUGUCGGGAGGGACGAAUGCGCCGCAAGGCGAGUGACGGUACCUCCAAAGGAAGCACCGGCUAACUCUGUGCCAGCAGCCGCGGUAAUACAGAGGGUGCGAGCGUUGUCCGGAAUCACUGGGCGUAAAGGGCGCGUAGGCGGCUUGGUAAGUAGGGGGUGAAAUCUUGCGGCUCAACUGCAAGGCUGCCUCCUAAACUGUCAGGCUUGAGCACAGUAGAGGCAGGUGGAAUUCCCGGUGUAGCGGUGGAAUGCGUAGAGAUCGGGAAGAACAUCGGUGGCGAAGG
rnacentral:rRNA from 1 species